AGUUGAAUGAUCUUUGUAUUUACAGUGAACCCUCAAAUGAUGAUGUGUUGUCUUUUUAUUGGCGGAGAAGUAUUUUCCUCCACACCUGGUUAUUUAUUUUUUAAAUUUUUUUUUUUACUUGACAAUGUAGAAAGGCGAACACUAAGCACAUCGCUGGCGGUCCUACUAAUCAACAACUAAUUUUUUCCAAUAAAGUAAAACUUACCACGCCAAUGUUUUAUUGAUUGGACCUAUCUACGGCAUUGAAGAUCAACGAUCAUGGUUCGAGUGAGUACCGACCUUUGUAUGCAAACCCCGACCACCCCGAACUCGAUAUUUCGAUGACCCUUUGUUAGCGAGUGAACUUCUAAUACCAAAUCAAAACUGAUAUUCAAAACAUUGACAUCAAAUCAUAGCUUUUCCUUCUCAGACACUCGUCUUCACUCACUCAACCCCUGUAUAUAUUCAUAUAUAUAUAUACACACACACACUACCUCAUUAAAUAUGAUCACCUGUGUAUAUAACUACAAAAUUGCAUCAACCCAUUUGCGUCCGAGCCAUUCGACGAAAUGUCCCACUCACUGAAACUUUCCUCUAAUGGUUUCUGUUGGAGGAACAAAAUGUAGCUGAGUUACCGGCAGCAAUGGAGCACUGUGGUCCGGUGCUUGUGGCCCAGAAGGUCUAUGCUGAUGUCUACAAAAGGUGUCAUCACCGGCCAACUCCGGGAAUUGGCGUCUGCGGCACUGCCAGGACCACAAAGCUAGACAGCGCAUUGGCAUGAAUGCCCACUUGAAUUCCCUAUCUGGGGUGAGGGGGCCCUUGGCACAAAGCUAAGAUUGCUCCAUUGUGACUUGGAGGGCUGGAGGUUUCGGGUUGAAACAAGUAACAGCGUAAUGGCGGCAGGUUUCGGGUUGAAACAAGUAACAGCGUAAUGGCGGCGUACAUCGAACUCUCUCCAGACUGCAAAGUGGUGGGAACCUGGUGCGCUGGACUAGCCUUUUAUUCUCUCAGGGAAUGAGGUCAUGUACAACCAUUAUGAUAAGAAGUCUGGGCAGAAGGCUCCUCUUGUUUCAGAUGAUAUUUUUGGAAUUAUCUUGAAGGGUAACACAUUAAGAGCGGAUCACAAUGCUGACACCAGAAGGCCGAGGUUGUAUGUCUACUGCAAAAAUUGACUAUGAGUGCAUGACUUGUGGAAUUAAGUGCUUUGUUUAAAAAUCUAAGGAAUGUUGCUUUUAGUUGAGAAUCCCCUUGUGCAAGCAGGAGCAUGAGAUCAGCUUUUCUGAGCAUCUUUUUGCUGCAGAAUGAAAAUAGAUAUAUUUGUUGAAGUCUUCAAGCGAUGGGUGUAAGUUCCAACUUGAGCAUGAUAUAGUUUAGCUAGGCUGUUAUGUUGUAUAGCUGCUUCUUCUAUGAGCUUUUAACUUGGUAUUACGUGUCUGAAUUUGCCAGUAGUGUUUUUGUAUUAGAGUUAAUAUUCUUUCCAAGGGCUUAGAAAUGCAAUAUGCAACAAAAGUAUGUAUAUGAUUCUUUUUUUUCCUGGCAAAUAACUCACCCACUUUUCCCCAAUGGGGACUCGAACUCUCAACCUUCAUUUUCAAAGGUAAAGGAGAUAUCACUGGGCAUCGGCCCUUCGCUUAUAGUUGCCUUCUCUGAUUUGUUAAUUAUAAAAGGCAUGUUGGUGCUGUAUGCAUAGUCUAAUAUUAGAUGCAUGCUAAUCAUCUUAAAAGUCCUGCUGCUGCAAUUCCUCAAAGCCAGAAUCUAAUGAAUAGAUCGUGCAUUAAUGGGCCUUGCGGCCCUUUUCUCCCACUGGGCCUUUGGUGCAGACCUUCUGAAUUGAUACUUUUUUCUUUUUUCCUUCUUCUUCUUUGGGGUCAUUGUAUUGCAUUAUGUGGCACAUACUAAAGUUGUAUGGUUUAUUGUUGAAGUGAUUUGUCCUUGUACUUAUUAUGUGGACUUCAUCAAUGAUGUUAAAUUUGAAAAAUCAUUUGAGAAGAACUAUAUUUUCAAAGUGAAUGUUCAGAGCAGUAACUGUAUCAUGUGAAGUUAGUUUGUGGAAUGACUUGGAGAAGACCAAGGUAAGGACAAAAUUACUAGACUUUGGUCUUAUUUUAUUUUGUAUUUUUAUCUUUUAAUUUCUUCUCGGAGGCGGCGGCGAUGGCGAUGGCUAUUGCAAUUUGUCUUGUUCAAAGGUCAAUAGUAUUUGUUUUGAAUUGAAACGUUGAAUUUUAAGUUUGAUUUGUCUUUACUUUGAGCCGUUGGCUUCAACAUGGAUGUUCUAGUUUUUAUCAGAUCUCAAGCAAGUUGCUUCUGGUUUGGCUCUUUCUGUAAUAGUGGACCUUUUAUUUUCCAUUUGGUAAACGAUAGGACUAGAGCAUGUUUAAAAUGAUCAGAUAUUCGUUUAGCGAUUGACAGCACGAGUUCCGUAGACGGUGAUCAAGGAAAAGGUUAGAUUGGCACGCUCAUUUCACCAAUACACCGACCAUGGAAUCUUAGUGGGGUUUGCAGUUUCGUUGCUUAGUUCCCUUGUGAGUCAUGUGUUUAACUCAAAAGUCAUACAGAUGAUAGAUAUAGGACAAGUAUCGUAAGCAGAAAUCUCACUAUAAGUACUUAAAAUAAAUUUUUUCUACUUUCUUUAGGAUUAUAUUCUUUUCUUUGUCAGUUUAAACAAGUUGAUAUAGCCAAAUUAGUCUACAUUCUACCACUGAGAGCGUGAGUUUGAAGUCCAUCAAAAGUUACAUCCAUUAGUAUUCCUUGGACCCCAUAGACAUCCCUUUAAGAAAAGCGAUAGCAAAGUAGAAUGUCAAAACUUGGACAUGAUUGUGGUUGAGUUGUUAAUUCACAACUCUGUUUAGAUUAAGCUAGUUGUUUUAUCACUGUCGUCGUCGUCGUCGUCGUUGUCAUCAUCAUCAUCAUCAUCCUUGGCUUUAUACGGGGUCGGCCGCAUAGAUUCUCUUUUAUCAUAAGUAAUUUCUCCUACUAGAUUUAAUUUUUAAAAAUCAUUUUUUUAUUACUUCAUUCCAUGUUAGUUUCGGUCAACCUGUGUCUUUAUCUUCUAUGCAAAACAAUCUCUUUCCUCUCACCGGCGCAUCUAUGGGUCGGUAUUUAGUGUUCAUUUUACUUUAUUAGCAGUAAUUAGUGCUCAUUUUUUUACUGCAUUUAUGACUAUUGACAGGAGGAACUAUGAAGUGAUUGCGGGAUCUGCAGUUAUCAGAGAUGCGGACUGAUGGUGAUUUUAGGUUUAUUUUCGGAUUCGCAAUAAUUCUGUUGAAGGGUGUUUAGUUUUGCAAAUUGAUAUUACAGCUUUGACUCAUGGUGAUAUAUUCAAGCAUCGAGCUAACUUUGAAACGGGUAAUCUCAACCCGGAGACGACAAAAUUGCAAGACUUGCUUGUUCAUGAUAUUGCUUUCCAUCAUAAGUCCACCGUGAUCAUGAAGACUUAAAACUGGGGCUCUGAAUUCUUUUUUUCUUUGUUUCAUUGGUUUCUAAGUCUGCAUAGCCCCACCAGCCACUUGGAGUUUCUGGACCAGGGUCACCACUUGUACAAGUUGCACACACACACACACACACACACAUAUAUAUAUAUAUGCUUUCAAGUUCUAUGUUCAAAUCAUAGUUUCUGAAUUCAACCUAGGAUAUUCUGAUUUUUAGUGUGGAACAGAAAAAAGGGUGCCUAUGAUUUUGUGUUAGGCGUAUUUGACUGGACGAUGAAUGAAAGGAACAUAA